AUUAAAGUGCCUGAGUAAAAGGAUUAACUUGAUAGGUUAAAUAAUGAAAAAUUUUUAUUUCUUUACGA
rnacentral:tRNA from 1 species